rnacentral:rRNA from 1 species
AGUAGGGCGGGACACGUGAAAUCCUGUCUGAAGAUGGGGGGACCAUCCUCCAAGGCUAAAUACUCGUGAUCGACCGAUAGUGAACCAGUACCGUGAGGGAAAGGCGAAAAGAACCCCGGGAGGGGAGUGAAAUAGAUCCUGAAACCGCAUGCAUACAAACAGUCGGAGCCUCGUAAGGGGUGACGGCGUACCUUUUGUAUAAUGGGUCAGCGACUUACGUUCAGUAGCAAGCUUAACCGUAUAGGGCAGGCGUAGCGAAAGCGAGUCCGAAUAGGGCGUUCAGUUGCUGGGCGUAGACCCGAAACCAGGUGAUCUAUCCAUGGCCAGGAUGAAGGUGCGGUAACACGUACUGGAGGUCCGAACCCACUAACGUUGAAAAGUUAGGGGAUGAGCUGUGGAUAGGGGUGAAAGGCUAAACAAACCUGGAAAUAGCUGGUUCUCUCCGAAAACUAUUUAGGUAGUGCCUCGUGUCUCACCUUCGGGGGUAGAGCACUGUCAUGGUUGGGGGGUCUAUUGCAGAUUACCCCGCCAUAGCAAACUCCGAAUACCGAAGAGUGCAAUCACGGGAGACAGACAUCGGGUGCUAACGUCCGGUGUCAAGAGGGAAACAACCCAGACCGCCAGCUAAGGUCCCCAAAUAUGGCUAAGUGGGAAACGAAGUGGGAAGGCUAAAACAGUCAGGAGGUUGGCUUAGAAGCAGCCACCCUUUAAAGAAAGCGUAAUAGCUCACUGAUCGAGUCGUCCUGCGCGGAAGAUGUAACGGGGCUAAGCCAUAUACCGAAGCUGCGGAUGCGUGCUUGCACGCAUGGUAGGAGAGCGUUCCGUAAGCCUGCGAAGGUGCCUUGUAAAGGGUGCUGGAGGUAUCGGAAGUGCGAAUGCUGACAUGAGUAGCGAUAAAGGGGGUGAAAGGCCCCCUCGCCGUAAGCCCAAGGUUUCCUACGCAACGUUCAUCGGCGUAGGGUGAGUCGGCCCCUAAGGCGAGGCAGAAAUGCGUAGCUGAUGGGAAGCAGGUCAAUAUUCCUGCACCAUUGUUAGAUGCGAUGGGGGGACGGAUCGCGGAAGGUUGUCCGGGUGUUGGACGUCCCGGUCGCUGCAUUGGAGAAGGCGCUUAGGCAAAUCCGGGCGCAGGAUUCAAGGGUGUGGCGCGAGCGACUUCGGUCGCGAAGCAAUUGGAAGUGGUUCCAAGAAAAGCCUCUAAGCUUCAGUCUAACGAUGACCGUACCGCAAACCGACACAGGUGGGCGAGAUGAGUAUUCUAAGGCGCUUGAGAGAACUCGGGAGAAGGAACUCGGCAAAUUGGUACCGUAACUUCGGGAUAAGGUACGCCCUUGUAGCUUGACUGGCCUGCGCCAGGAGGGUGAAGGGGUUGCAAUAAACUGGUGGCUGCGACUGUUUAAUAAAAACACAGCACUCUGCAAACACGAAAGUGGACGUAUAGGGUGUGACGCCUGCCCGGUGCCGGAAGAUUAAAUGAUGGGGUGCAAGCUCUUGAUUGAAGUCCCGGUAAACGGCGGCCGUAACUAUAACGGUCCUAAGGUAGCGAAAUUCCUUGUCGGGUAAGUUCCGACCUGCACGAAUGGCGUAACGAUGGCCACACUGUCUCCUCCCGAGACUCAGCGAAGUUGAAGUGUUUGUGAUGAUGCAAUCUACCCGCGGCUAGACGGAAAGACCCCAUGAACCUUUACUGUAGCUUUGCAUUGGACUUUGAACCGAUCUGUGUAGGAUAGGUGGGAGGCUAUGAAACCGGAACGCUAGUUUCGGUGGAGCCGUCCUUGAAAUACCACCCUGGUUUGUUUGAGGUUCUAACCUUGGUCCGUGAUCCGGAUCGGGGACAGUGCAUGGUAGGCAGUUUGACUGGGGCGGUCUCCUCCCAAAGGGUAACGGAGGAGUACGAAGGUACGCUAGGUACGGUCGGAAAUCGUGCUGAUAGUGCAAUGGCAUAAGCGUGCUUAACUGCGAGACCGACAAGUCGAGCAGGUGCGAAAGCAGGUCAUAGUGAUCCGGUGGUUCUGUAUGGAAGGGCCAUCGCUCAACGGAUAAAAGGUACUCUGGGGAUAACAGGCUGAUACCGCCCAAGAGUUCAUAUCGACGGCGGUGUUUGGCACCUCGAUGUCGGCUCAUCUCAUCCUGGGGCUGUAGCCGGUCCCAAGGGUAUGGCUGUUCGCCAUUUAAAGAGGUACGUGAGCUGGGUUUAAAACGUCGUGAGACAGUUUGGUCCCUAUCUGCCGUGGGCGUUGGAUAUUUGAAGGGGGCUGCUCCUAGUACGAGAGGACCGGAGUGGACGAACCUCUGGUGUACCGGUUGUGACGCCAGUCGCAUCGCCGGGUAGCUAUGUUCGGAAGAGAUAACCGCUGAAAGCAUCUAAGCGGGAAACUCGCCUUAAGAUGAGAUAUCCCUGGAGGCUUGACCUCCUUGAAGGGUCGUUCGAGACCAGGACGUUGAUAGGUCGGGUGUGUAAGCGCAGUAAUGCGUUCAGCUAACCGAUACUAAUUGCCCGUAAGGCUUGAUCCUAUAAC